AACGAACGCUGGCGGCAUGCCUAACACAUGCAAGUCGAACGAGACCUGCGGGUCUAGUGGCGCACGGGUGCGUAACGCGUGGGAACCUUCCCUUAGGUUCGGAAUAACUCCCCGAAAGGGGUGCUAAUACCGGAUAAUGUCUUCGGACCAAAGAUUUAUCGCCUUUGGAUGGGCCCGCGUUGGAUUAGCUAGUUGGUAGGGUAAAAGCCUACCAAGGCGACGAUCCAUAGCUGGUCUGAGAGGAUGAUCAGCCACACUGGGACUGAGACACGGCCCAGACUCCUACGGGAGGCAGCAGUGGGGAAUAUUGGACAAUGGGCGAAAGCCUGAUCCAGCAAUGCCGCGUGAGUGAUGAAGGCCUUAGGGUUGUAAAGCUCUUUUACCCGGGAUGAUAAUGACAGUACCGGGAGAAUAAGCUCCGGCUAACUCCGUG
rnacentral:rRNA from 1 species